AUCAGUGAUUCAGUCGAGCUUCUUAAACUGAAAUCGAUCGAAGUAAAUCUUCAAAAAAAUGAAACUCCAGCGGCCUAAGCCCUCUUUCACUCUCAACUCCAACGGCCCAACUCCCAAAGGCAUCUAUAAAUUUCACUUCUACUGAAACCCUAGUAGUCACACUCUCCUCUCACACUCUCUUAUCACUCUCUCAAUCUCUCUAUCACUCUCACCUACCAACGUUGUCCUCACCUCUCCCUCUCUCUCUCUCUCUCUCUCUCUCUCUCUCUCUCUCUCUUAGAUCGUAGAAGCUUCAUCACAUCUUAAAGGAGGAUGAGGAGGAGUGGGUUUGUCGCCUCACAUCUUGCAGAUCGUUGUCCUCUCUCUCUGUAGCAAAUCUUGCAUGCCUCAAAUUGAAAUCCUAACCCCAAAGGUGAGAGGGAAAAAGAAGAAGGAGGACAAAGAGGAUGAAGAGAUGGAGGUGAAAAACCCAGAAGCCACAGAUCUUCUUAGUUUCUUCCCCAUUCGCCAUGGAUCUCUUCCCCAUCCACCACAGAUCAGAUCGUUGUCCUCUUUCUCUGUUGCAUAUCUUGCAUGCCUUAAAUUGAAAAUCCAAACCCCAAAGGUGAGAGGGAAAAAGAAAGAGGAGGACGAAGAGGAUGAAGAGAUGGAUGCGAAAAAAUCAGAAGCCACAUAUCUUCUUAGUUUCUUCCCCAUUCGCCAUGGAUCUCUUCCCCAUCCACCACAGAUCAGAUCUUGCAUGCCUCAAAUUGAAAAUCCCAACCCCAAAGGCGAGAGGGAAAAAGAAAAAAGAGGAUGAAGAGAUGAAGGCGAAAAACCCAGAAACCACAUAUCAUCUUAGUUUCUUCCCCAUCCGCCAUGGAUCUCUUCCCCAUCCACCACAGAUCAAGUGCUCUAUAGAUCUGGUGUCUUCUUUAAUUUUUGUGUGAUUUUUUCUUGUUUUGUGAAUAUAUGAACUAUUCUUAUUCUUUGUUAUAUUUUGUGAGUUUUUUUUUCUAGAUUCAUCACUGAAAAGCUAAACCUUUCUCCCUCCUCACUUUUUUUUUCAUCGGAAACCAAUUAGCCAACUGAAUUGACCAGCUCUGGCAUUUUUUAGAUCCAACCAAACUGGAACUUUAAGCGGAUAGUGGCAGGCCUGGGUUUUUGGUGAUUUUCACCUGAUGAGACCGACGUUGAUGGUCCGAAACCGACCGUAACCAACCGAUGGACACCUCUAAUCAAAAUAACCAUCAUCGGUGUUCAAUUUUGUUCAUUUACUUCAAGCGGUUUUAAAAUGAAUCGAGACUUAUUUUCAACUGAUUCUUGAUCGUAUGGUCUUUUUCUCGCCUCUUAAUGAAUUAUACUCUUUUUCAGUUUUGCCUUAUUUAUUAUAUUACAAGUUUUCCAAUUUUCAUUAUUUCUUUCCUUUAUCUUAUUCAUUCAUCAUUUUGUCUCUUCACUCUUCACUUUUAGAUCCCAACAAUGAACGAUGACGUAAUUGAUUUUCUUUUUUUUUUGACAGUGACACCAUUGAUUUUUUUUUGGUUACAAGAGGAAAUUGACGCCAUUGAUUUAACCCAAGCAUAGGGUUGAGAAAGGGAGCUCCUUCAACAUAAGACUUUUUGCUGUUAAGUCGAAUCUACCCAACCGAGGAAGUGUAAUAGAAACAUCACCAUGAUGAUGAGUGAAUUGAAAAACAAAAAUCAUGGAUUCUCAAAGGAGGGACACGUUGUCGCAUCUACCAUCGCCACCACCAAAGACCACGAGGGGUGCACCUCCACUAAAACUUUUGCAUCGUGAAGGCAUGAGGAUACACCACAUAUUGAUCAAUUUUACCAUUUAUGUGCGAGGUAGUAGAGGGAGUUAUCAUUGUCUGAUUACGUUGAUGAUCGCUCUGGGAGGACCAUUGACUUUCUAUCACUAACGAACCUAAACCUCUCUCUUGUGUCAAGUUCAACCCUUGAACCUAAAAUCUUACGAAAUGAGUCAAAUGAGUGUGAAAGAUGAAGAGGUUGAAGGAAAGGGCAUAUUGAUUGGAAGCAACACGAUUGACUUGGAAUUGAAGCUCUAGUUAUGUAGGGAUGUGAGUUAAUUAAUUGUGUGAGACUUUACUAGGGUUGAUUUGUUUUCUUUCUAUGUUGUUUAAACUUUGAUGGAUAUCAAUCUAAUUUUUAUUGCUUUCAUUUUCAUUAA